ACUGACAACACCUUUGAUCACAACUGGAGACCAUGGUGACUAUUCAACAAGUAAAUUCAAAGAUGAAACAGAGGUUGAGGGAAUUUGAGAAACGUGCCCAGGACUAAACAUUUGGACCUGCAAGAAUCAAGACUAAAAUGCAAACAAACACCUGGAGACUCUUUCCUGGAGGUUCUGCUGUGCAUCGGGACAAAGCCAUCACAGUGAGUCUACAUUAAGAGCACCAUAGCCAGCUCUUCACUUCCCCAAGCCAAGUUCUCAGACUUCAAAGAGAUGGAAAAUAAAAGGGCUACUUUUCCAUGUCACUCCCCACUGUGAUGACAAGCCUGGGACAAUGAAUGGGUGAUGAAUCACCACCAAGCUUGAGCCUAAGAAGAGGGUAAAUCCAGAAUGGAAAAAAGCUGGUAGCAAAAUGGAAAGUGAGACCUCCUCCAAAGCUUACUUUCCUGACUUCAACCUUGGUCUUGAUGGAGUGGCUUGGACUUGGUUGAGCCACCAGGAGCCACACCCUGGGGCCUAACUGGACCUCCGACCCAGAUGGGGAGACAAAGACUGAAUAACAGCAAACAUUUAUUCCACUCCUGUCUAUUACACUAUGUAGGGGACCAAGAAAGAGAAAUUUGGGGAACUUU